rnacentral:rRNA from 1 species
GCCCUCUUCGGAGGGAGUGGCGCACGGGUGCGUAACGCGUGGGAAACUGCCCUAGGGUGCGGAAUAAUCCAGAGAAAUUUGGCCUAAUACCGCAUAAUGUCUUCGGACCAAAGAUUUAUCGCCCUUGGAUGUGCCCGCGUAAGAUUAGCUAGUUGGUGGGGUAAAGGCCUACCAAGGCAACGAUCUUUAGCUGGUCUGAGAGGAUGAUCAGCCACACUGGGACUGAGACACGGCCCAGACUCCUACGGGAGGCAGCAGUGGGGAAUAUUGGACAAUGGGCGAAAGCCUGAUCCAGCAAUGCCGCGUGAGUGAUGAAGGCCUUAGGGUUGUAAAGCUCUUUUGCCAGGGAUGAUAAUGACAGUACCUGGAGAAUAAGCUCCGGCUAACUCCGUGCCAGCAGCCGCGGUAAUACGGAGGGAGCUAGCGUUGUUCGGAAUUACUGGGCGUAAAGCGCGCGUAGGCGGCUUUGUAAGUCAGAGGUGAAAUCCCGGGGCUCAACCCCGGAACUGCCUUUGAAACUACAUCGCUAGAGUCUUGGAGAGGUGAGUGGAAUUCCGAGUGUAGAGGUGGAAUUCGUAGAUAUUCGGAAGAACACCAGUGGCGA